rnacentral:rRNA from 1 species
CAGCCGCCGCGGUAACCCCAGCGCCACAAGUGGGAACCACGCUUAUUGGGUCUAAAGCUCCGUAGCCGGUUCUGCAAAUGCCCUGUGAAAUCGUUGCGUUUAACCCAACGGCGUGCAGGGUAAAAAACAGAACUACAGACCAGAGGAAUGACACUGAAUUCCCGAAUGAGACCGCUCCGUCAGAAACACCGCACCUUCCCCAGUCUCACGUCCUGUGUCACCCCUGCACGCCUUUCGUUAAGGCAAACAUUUCCAAGGGGAUUUGCAAACGGCCACGUGGCUUUAAACCAAUAAGCUUGGCUCCCCCUGUCGCCCGCCCCUUCCGGGAGGUAACCCCAAAUUUGCCCCCCCAACUCCCGGGAAUUAAAAUAAAUCUCGCUCGCCUCACUAUCU